rnacentral:rRNA from 1 species
AGAGUUUGAUCCUGGCUCAGAACGAACGCUGGCGGCAUGCCUAACACAUGCAAGUCGAACGAGACAAGGUGUGUAGCAAUACAGACUUUGUUUAGUGGCGCACGGGUGCGUAACACGUGAGCAAUCUGCCGAGAAGUGGGGGAUAGCUCGCCGAAAGGCGAAUUAAUACCGCAUGUGGCUAGGGGUGGCAUUGCCCCGAAGCUAAAGUAGCAAUACGCUUCUUGAUGAGCUCGCGGCCUAUCAGCUAGAUGGCGGGGUAACGGCCCACCAUGGCGAUGACGGGUAGCUGGUCUGAGAGGACGACCAGCCACACUGGAACUGAGACACGGUCCAGACUCCUACGGGAGGCAGCAGUGGGGAAUUUUGGGCAAUGGGCGCAAGCCUGACCCAGCAACGCCGCGUGAGGGAGGAAAUCCUUCGGGAUGUAAACCUCAUAAGUAAGGGAAGAGUACAGACGACUUAAUACAUUGUCUGUUCGACGGUACCUUACGUAAGCCACGGCUAACUACGUGCCAGCAGCCGCGGUAAUUC